AGGCACUGUGGGUAAUCCAGGGGACAGGGAGGGGUUUGCGCAGAUAGGCUGGUCGACGAUUAUUUUCUGUUUAAUGUUAUUUUAUAGAAUUUAUUCUGGGGUUAAUUCUGGACAGAUUUUGCCAGUUUUCUGUCAGGUAGACCAGGUUUACUUUUCAAAUCUAGACAGAACUUGUGACCUCAGUGUCAUAUAGUGGUGUUAUGUUACAGCCAAGUCACACCCCCAGAAGCAGACGAUUCCAAGCUGGAGGUUCAAAGGAUAUGGUGGACCCUCCCCACAAAGAGAGAUAAAGAUGGCGGAGUUGAUGGAUUUCAGUCAAUGAGAUGUUCAAAAACUGCGAUCAUUUCUUAUUGAGAGAAAUACCGGUACAUGACAAGCGCAAAGAGGAACUGAUCCAGUUGUGCAACGCUGCACAACUAAUAGGCUUGCCAAAGGUACUCUCUAACGCUGGCCAUUCUGCCAGUCUCGAACAAUCUGUCACGCAAAAGCUGACAUAAUUUGGACGGCGGUUUGAUUACGCUACCCAACCCAACUUCUUUGUCUGCAGGAUGGGAAGCAGACGGAUCAAGUUUACCUGAGCUGCUACAAGCAGGUGUGGAAAAGUACUUUGAGAGAACAUCUGCAGCAUACAUUCAUGAUGAAAAUUUUUAAAGAACUUGUUUACGAGGAAAACAAGGAUGUCAACAUUACUACAGCAGGCAAGGAGGCUCUCCGUGACGGAAAAAGUCUGCACGUUUCGGGACACGUCCAGAAUCUCCGUGUCCAUGCAGCUCAUCCUGACAGCCCCUACUGUUUUGUGCGCUGCAGCACUGUCAGAGAAACCAGUGUCUCCCUCCCACCAUAUGACACUUGGAUCAUUGUCCACAAAUCCAGAAACAUCCUGGUUGACGGUUAUUGCACCUGCCCUGGAGGUAUUCGAGGCACCUGCAAGCACGUCACAGCAUUGUGAAUACAAAACAAAUGAAAAUUCUGACAGCAAAAUGUCUUUCAGGCUGCGAAAAGACUUCAGAAACGUACACACAAUGUUUUGGAGGAGGCCAACUUUGCUGGACAGUGGUUCAUCUGGUACUGAACAGGAGUGCAACAUUUUGAAGUAUUGCUCCCGCAGAUACCUACACUGGCUUAAAUUCAGAGAGCACAAGCAGACACAGGAAUUUGCAGUACAUGACUGGUUGGAGGAUUGACCAGAGAUGAAGGAGCCGAGACAAAGCGUGUAGUCCAGAGAUGUUGGAGCACAAGGUUGAGAAGAACAUGUACUUCAUGACAAGAGAAAGGAAAGUCAUCCAGCAGUGUUUCACCAGGGACUUGAGGUGAAGAAGGAGGAGGACAAGAAGAUGAAAUGUUUGAAAGGGAGUGGGUGGAAAGCAGGCAAAACUGUAGGAGCACUGUAGGAAAGGUUCUUAUGUACAAAGGAAGCCGACUUGUCAGAGCAAACAGAGUCAACAGUUAGUACUGGCUCUCCAGAAGAAGAAGCAUAUGUGUGGUCACUUGUUUCAUUAUCAUUCUGUAGACUCUAGUCUGUGAUGGUAAAGCAUAUGUAUGAUCAAAAGCAAAAGUACUUGAGUCGUGUACAGGUUUGAAAACAUCAAACCAGUGCUGUAGGAUGUCAGGAUGAGAACAUAGUGAAGCAAACUGUUGUUCGAUAACAAUAUCUCUCUGUGUCUGAUGAGACUUCGGAAUUGUACAUGCAAACUGGUGACAUGACUGAAAAUGAUGUGUUAACGUGGAAACAAAAACACUACAGGACUCUCGAACUGAAGUAUUGCUCUCAACAUGGUCAACCAAAAUACUUGCCAACUUAUUGUUACGGUCUGAACUUAGAUGGUGCAAGAAAGACACAAGACGAGGCGUGCUGACUCCAGGAAAGCUAAAUGUUGAGUUUGGCGACACAUGAUGUAGUGGUUCUUGAAGGUGGAGUGAAGGAGUCCGACAAGCAAUUCUCGUCAGAAGAAGAAAUGUAGCCGUGGCGCAGCACUCGGAGAGACUUCAACUCAGAAUACAUGUUUUUAUUCUAGUAGGAGUAACAUGGGACUUGUAGGUUUUAUUUGGUUGGUUUAGAGGGAUGUUAUCGUCCUGCAUUCUCAAACCAUUAGUGCAUGUGAUGCCUUUAUUGUCAUAUUUACUGUGACUGGUUUCAUUAUAAAGAUGUCAUUACUAGCCAGAAAGUCCCCUGCAGUUCCAGAACAAGCUGCUAGGGGUACCAAACCCAUACUACUUAUUCCUGACAGAAAAAUCUAUCUGUCACCAAAAAAUCAAGACCAUAGCAUGUUCAGGACAAAAGAUACAAAAACCGGAAGUUCUACUGCAGUAUCAUGGUCAUCCACCAGGAAGCCCAUAUUUGAACUUGACCUUCGUCUUCCUAAGACCUACCAAUGCACACUGUCUGAAUCACAAAGGAGACCAACUAUUAAAUCCCUGUUUGGGGACUAGUUUUGCGAGACCAUCGUUCAGUUUGGCAAGUUAGGUACGCAAAAACGUCAAAAUCUUGCACAAGUCACAGGAUUGAGUACAUCCAGAAACGCGCGUGUCGGGUAAUACUCGGGUCGGCUUAUACUUCAUACCCAGAGGCAUGUGGAACACUGGACUUACCUACACUAGAAGACCGAAGGGUCCAACUUUGCCUGAACUUUGCUAGGAAAGUUCUCCGAUCACAGGACUUCCAACACUGAAUACCGCCCAGGAGGGGCACCACUGAGCGCACCACUCGUUCCAGUAAUAAACUGACUCUUACCAAGUGUAGUUCAACUGAGCGGUACAAACAGAGUAGCGUCCCGUACAUGAUCCACCUCUUAAACAGUCGCUGUUUGUCUUAGACACAGUAUGUCAACGAUGUUGUAAAUAAUGAUGUGGACAUUUGUGUUAAUAUUUGUGUAAAUAAUAUGCCUCAUUUAACUUUGAUGUACAACUGGACGUAAUUCAGCCUUUGGCUGCAAAGUCCACGUUUUUAUGAA